CUAUUAAAGGCAUAUACAUGUAUUUGAAUGUGACAAACACCAUACAACUGAAGGUAAAGCACAUAUCUUACUUGCACAAUCAGCGAUAGAAGUGCAAUUAGUAGCUGUGAUGUAAACAAAUAAUAAAAUAAUGUCAUUGAGAUGAUAAAAAAAUUGUGUGUAAGGUAAAACAAUUAAAUUUAUAAAGCAUGAUAAAAUGAUAUUACUAUUAGCUUCGGUCAAAACAAGAAAUAGGAAAUGAACGAAAAUCAUAAAAUAAACAAAGUUGAGA
rnacentral:lncRNA from 1 species